rnacentral:rRNA from 1 species
GACGAACGCUGGCGGCGUGCUUAACACAUGCAAGUCGAGCGAUGAAGUUCCUUCGGGAAUGGAUUAGCGGCGGACGGGUGGGUAACACGUGGGUAACCUGCCUCAUAGAGGGGAAUAGCCUUCCGAAAGGAAGAUUAAUACCGCAUAAGAUUGUAGUGCCGCAUGGCAUAGCAAUUAAAGGAGCAAUCCGCUAUGAGAUGGACCCGCGUCGCAUUAGCUAGUUGGUGAGGUAACGGCUCACCAAGGCGACGAUGCGUAGCCGACCUGAGAGGGUGAUCGGCCACAUUGGGACUGAGACACGGCCCAGACUCCUACGGGAGGCAGCAGUGGGGAAUAUUGCACAAUGGGGGAAACCCUGAUGCAGCAACGCCGCGUGAGUGAUGACGGUCUUCGGAUUGUAAAACUCUGUCUUCAGGGACGAUAAUGACGGUACCUGAGGAGGAAGCCACGGCUAACUACGUGCCAGCCGCCGCAGUAAAAC